rnacentral:tRNA from 1 species
GGCUGAAAGCAUGCCCAAGUCAGAGCGUCGGCCUCCGGAGCCGAAGGUUACAGGUUCGAGCCCUGUCGGGA